AUUAUGACAAAGCAAAAAUUCAAAUAUUUGAAUUUUCCCACCACAAAACACAAUUAAACCCAAACCAAAUACCCAAUAAGCAUAAAUCCAGUUCGGUAAAAAAAAUCGAGUCAGCUCCUUAUACACAGAAUCCCCAUACAACACUGUUGCUAAAUUGUGGAUGAAGACUGUGUUGUCAUCUCACAGGUUCUAUCAAUCUUAUUUUGCUUUUCCUAGCUGGUUGGUUCUGCUCAAGGUUCAUCAGAGGGAAUAGAUCGCUUUCAGGCUUCGAAGGACCGUCUGUCUUUCGGAUAAGUCCAUGGGGGUUCACCUAUCAUGACAUUACUACUGUCUUCUGUUUUUUGCAUAGUCUAGGAUUGAAAUGAGUUUUAUUAUUAUUCUUUUCCUUUGUGCGAUCCCCCGGUUGUAUCCCAAACUCUUGAUCCGUUGCUGCGGAGCUGCAGUUGAAGUUUUAUUCGUUGCGUAUUUUCUGUGAGCUCUGGUGUCAAGGCCGGGAUCCUGAGUCAGUCGCGCUAAUUAACUCAUUCUCAGUCUUAGGAAAUAGCAAUGGUCAUCAGAAUUUGGUUACAUGUGAACUGCAGAGUGUAUUAAGUACCAUCUGUUUUAGUGUUUCAUCUACUAAGGCUCAGCUAGUAGUGGUGCUGUUUGUAACAGCUUUAGACAAGAGUUCAUUCCAUCCGUGUGGAGCUGAAAUUUUAAGCACUAUCAAUUGAGGCGUGUUUUAGUACAAUGGAAUGGCUAUUAUAAGUGUUGCUAUUUGGAAUUGUUGUUAUUUGUGGUGUUAUUAAAUUUUAGAUACCAGGGAUUGGCAUUUUGUAGUGUUGGCAUUGGUUGUGCUAAGCUACCAGUCUUGGUGUGUGGUGCUUUGCUAACCUUAUGUAAUGUUGUUAGAACUUGUUGUAUUUGCCCUUUAGUACAUCUUGUAAUUGGGGAUUUUGGUUUUUUAAUAUAUGCUUUCUUUGCCUGUUCAAUUUUUUUUUAUUAUGUACUAAUUGAAAGAUAGCUUAAAUUGCCAAAAGUAUGUUGAUGUUGUAACAGAAAAAGGUAAGAAUUUAUUAUGUAUUGUAACAGCUCAAGAGUUAAGAAAGAUAUAAAUUUUUGUUAGUAUCUAGGCAAAUAUUUUAAUGUGUAGCCAAAAAUCAAUAAGUUAAGAAACCUAGGAGUAUGUGUAGUUUUCUGAAAAUCAUGUUAGAACAUUGAUAUUAAGAGCAUAGGAAUACAUGAGAUGGGCUAGAGAAGAAAUAUGAUGCUUAGAUAUUCAAGUGCUUAUGUGUUUAAUCAAGGAACCAAAUUAACUUUGUUAUUAAGGCUUGCCUUUGACAUUUUAGGUCAUCAAUAUAGAGACAUGUAGGCUCAAAUUUUGUACUUUUAUUAUUGAGUUUCUUUCUUUUUUGAAAUCUCAAAUUUUCUUCAUUCGCAUUUGUUUCAGAACUAGAGUUGAUUCAAAAUUGUCUCACAAAGAUAGAAGAUAAUUUGAUCCCUUUCUACCUUGUUCAUGUUUGUGAAGAUAAUUUACCACUUAUGCCUAAAUCUGCCACUUAAUAUUCCAUCUUCUUUAAUUGGCUCAAUAUCUUAUAUUUAAUCCAAUGUAAGGUUAUCUGUUUCAUUCUCUUUGUUUGAAUCGUCUUAGUAACAUUAUUGAUUCACAUAAUUUUUCUUUUUAUCCUUCUGCAGUUAAGUAUGAUCUUCUUUUAAAUAUGGGACUGUAAUCGGAAAUCUGAUGUGGCCAUGGAGAUGUUCAGUGAUGCAACUUUCAUGAAUAUUGGCGGCUUAUCGAAAGUGUGCUUUCAUGAAUAUUUAUAAUUCAUCUUCUCCCUGUGCAUUUCACUGAACGUCUCUGUUGGUCUAUUGAUAUUAUUUUUCGGGAAUAAAUAAUGAAUGAGGAAAUAGUCAUUUUAGUCUUUAAAAUAGAUUUUUCCUCGUGCGUACGCAAGGGUACUCUGACUAGUUGGUUACAGUUCAGCAGCCCGGUCGAGUAGAGUUCAUUGCCAGUAUCAUGAGCCCAACAACCCGCUCUAAUUUACCCGGAUUAGCUUCAAUUUUGCAACCACAGGUAUCUAACACAGGGAAGGCCACAACUCUUGGCAGUUGGCAAGGAUAUAGGAAGGAGUAGUCACAGAGACCACAUAUUUACCAAUACUGAGUUCAUCUACUGGAUCUACUUUCAACACACAUUCCCUUCCAGAGCCAAAAUUAAGUCAAUAUCGUGGAACUUUGUCCUCGUUUGGUGCACGAAAUCAAAUGGUUCUUCAGUGGAAACCUUGAAUCAAUGCUCCACAGUUUCUAUGGGGAAGUCCAAACUUAUCUUCAGCGCAAACCAAAGCACCGGUUUGGCAAAGACCAUCCAUGGGACAUCACCUUAAAACGAGCCAUGCUUUCCCAUACUCAACUCAAAGGAAUUCCAUUGUCAGUUCGUCCCAGCGGCAUCACCAUCAUCACAUUGGUUCGUCUCUAUCAGGUUUGCCUUUUGAGAGCCACUUCGGUUUUUUCCCCAAGUCAUCUGAAACUUCACUGAUGAAUAAUUUUGGCUAUAGUGGAAUGAGUCUCGAGUACAAUGAUGGAAAUUACAUGCUUAAUGCUGGCGUUUCUGGUAAUGUCGGUGUUUCUAUUCCAAUAAAUAUGCCUGAUAAUUGUUCAUCAAACUUCAUCAUGAGAUCUUCUCUAUACUUAGCCCUGUGUUUCUAAGUAAUGGUCCUUAUCCAGGACUUCUACCUACUACUAUGGAGAGUUUAUCUGACCGUGUUAGGAGUAGAAGGAUCGAUAACAAUGGCAGCCAGGAUGACAGCAAGAAGCUAUUUCAGCUCGACUUGGAUAAGAUCAAAGUGGUGAAGAUAUGACGACUACAUUGAUGAUAAAGAAUAUCGCAAAUAACUGCUAUCGAUGAAUAUCACAAGGGCACCUAUGAUUUUCUCUAUAUACCAAUUGACUUUAAGAAUAAAUGCAAUGCAAUGUCGGUUAUGCAUUUAUCAGCAUGCUGUCACCCUCACUUCUCUUUCCAUUCUUCCGAGGUCGUAGUCAUACAAGAGAAUGACCCUUCCAACUACAUUAAUAUUCAGGCAGUUAAGUCAAGUGAGUUACAAUUCAGCGAUUCACUCGUAUUCCCUACAAAGGGCGGUUUUCCUGUGAAUUUGGAUGCAAAUUAACAUUAUAUGAAUGAUGUACAGUUGCUAACAGAUGUAGACUUUAUAUCAUAAAGUGUACAAAAAGGAAAAUAUCAUGUCACUGUCAAUAACUUUAAAGACAACAAUUGAAAAAGGAAAAAUAUGGUCAAGCUACAAAUGUAUUUAAAAUCCAUAUAUUGAUUGGGAAAAGAUAUCCAAAGCUGCACAUUGUUGUUCAAUUUCAGAUGAAAAGGAAAUAGAUUGGGAAAACACAUGAGAUUGCCUUAGCCAAUUCACAAUACCAUCACCAACAUCAUCAUCAUCUAGCUUAUUAGCAGCCCAGUCAUCCAAAUCCACAAGUUGACUAGCCCAGUCCUGAUCAGAUUUAUCCAUUAGAUCAUCU